AUGGCGGCGGGACGGCGCUCGGACAGGAGUGGCUGCCUUGCAGCGCCCGAGCCUGCUUCGUCCUCGGAUGUCUCGGUCGCGGUGCCUGCUCCAGGUCCUGGUCGUGGAAGAUGGAGGUGGAGGCGCAGGCUGGAUGGGCCUGAUCUGGACCGCAGGGGCUCGACACGGGCGUCUGCCGGAGUUGGCCUGACUGCUGCUGUGUGCGGCUCCUGGAGGUCCUUGAUACGGCUGGGAGGGAGACCUGCAAGCUCGCAGCCGCGGGGAGGUGUGGUGUGUCGGGCUGUUUUUGCUUUUGCAUGUGCUGCCUCAGACCAUCUCCAGCCGCGUCCUCAACAGACCCCCCUAGGCAACUUUUUCGGCGCCGGCGCCAUAAAAAGGCCCAGUCGCGCCCCUAGGACGACGAAAAGCGCCGGGCGCUUGGGGGCUCCGGCGCAAGGGAAAAGCGUGGCUGGGCCACGCCGUCAGGUGAAAAGUCAAGAUUUUCUUCCCCGACUCGCCUCCCACCCCCCGCACUCUCGGCCGCCACUAGGUAUAUCCCGGCGCCGCCCCGCCGCCUUUCACCGGUAG
rnacentral:rRNA from 1 species